UACGUAGGUGGCAAGCGUUGUCCGGAUUUAUUGGGUUUAAAGGGUGCGUAGGCGGUCCUAUAAGUCAGUUGUGAAAUACGGCAGCUUAACUGUCGAGGUGCAAUUGAUACUGCAGGACUUGAGUACAGACGAGGUAGGCGGAAUUGACGGUGUAGCGGUGAAAUGCUUAGAUAUCGUCAAGAACACCGAUAGCGAAGGCAGCUUACUAGACUGUAACUGACGCUGAUGCACGAAAGUGUGGGGGAUCAAAACAGG
rnacentral:rRNA from 1 species